rnacentral:rRNA from 1 species
UACGUAGGGUGCAAGCGUUAAUCGGAAUUACUGGGCGUAAAGCGUGCGCAGGCGGUUUUGUAAGUCAGAUGUGAAAUCCCCAGGCUUAACCUGGGAACUGCAUCCGAUACUGGAUGGCUUGAAUCCGGGGAGAGGGAUGCAGAAUUCCAGGUGUAGCGGUGAAAUGCGUAGAUAUCUGGAGGAAUACCGGUGGCGAAGGCGGCAUCCUGGACCGGCAUUGACGCUGAUGAGCGAAAGCUGAGGGGAGCAAACGGGG